rnacentral:rRNA from 1 species
AGUCUGGUGCCAGCAGCCGCGGUAAUUCCAGCUCCAAUAGCGUAUAUUAAAGUUGUUGUGGUUAAAAAGCUCGUAGUUGGAUCUCAGUUUGAGUCAGGCGGUCCACUUGCCAGUGGCUACUGCCUGACUGAACACUUUACCGAGUUGUCCUAUGGUGUUCUUCACCGAGCGUCAUAGGCGAUCGGUACGUUUACUUUGAAAAAAUUAGAGUGCUCAAAGCAGGCGUAACGCCCGAAUAAUGUUGCAUGGAAUAAUGGAAUAGGACCUCGGUUCUAUUUUGUUGGUCUUCGGAAUCAGAGGUAAUGAUCAAUAGGGACAGACGGGGACAUUCGUAUUGCGGCGCUAGUGGUGAAAUUCUUGGACCGUCGCAAGACGAACUAAAGCGAAAGCAUUUGUCAAGAAUGUUUUCAUUAAUCAAGAACGAAAGUUAGAGGUUCGAAGGCGAUCAGAUACCGCCCUAGUUCUAACCAUAAACGAUGCCAUCCAGUAAUUCGUCUGAGUUCCUUAAAUGACUCGACGAGGGACUUCCGGGAAACCAAAGUCUUUCGGUUCCAGGGGAAGUAUGGUUGCAAAGCUGAAACUUAAAGAAAUUGACGGAAGGGCACCACCAGGAGUGGAGCCUGCGGCUUAAUUUGACCCAACACGGGAAAACUCACCCGGCCCGGACACUGGAAGGAUUGACAGAUUGAGAGCUCUUUCUUGAUUCAGUGGGUGGUGGUGCAUGGCCGUUCUUAGUUGGUGGAGUGAUUUGUCUGGUUAAUUCCGAUAACGAACGAGACUCUAGCCUACUAAAUAGAUCGUCGGCUUACAAACGCCGGCGAGACUUCUUAGAGGGACAGGCGGUGAUUCAACCGCACGAAACAGAGCAAUAACAGGUCUGUGAUGCCCUUAGAUGUCCGGGGCCGCACGCGCGCUACACUGAAGUGAUCAGCGUGCUUUUUCAACCUACUCUGUCAAGAGUGGGGAACCCAAUGAACCUUCUUCGUGAUUGGGAUAGGGGAUUGUAAUUAUUCCCCUUGAACGAGGAAUUCCCAGUAAGCGCGAGUCAUAAGCUCGCGUUGAUUACGUCCCUGCCCUUUGUACACACCGCCCGUCGCUACUACCGAUUGAAUGUUUUAGUGAGGUCUUCGGACUGGCCGGCGCAGCACUCUCGUAGUGCAGCGCUGUGUUUGGGAAGAUGCCCAAACUUGAACAUUUAGAGGAAGUAAAAGUCGUAACAAGGUUUCCGUAGGUGAACCUGCGGAAG